GAAUGGGGCGGGGCCAGUAGCUAGGCGACGCGGAGGGAGAAAAGCCCUUCUCGGCGGCGGGGCCCAUUGAGCGGGUGCAAUAAGGCGUGAGGGGGAACUAAUCUCCCCAUUUAAAUGAAGGAAAGAAGGAAGGAGCCCUCCCACGCCAGGCCAGGCCCAGUCGCCAAACAAAACACAGAUAGCAGAUAGGCUAAAACACACAGAUACAGAGAUAGAGAAGUAUAGACGCUAAAAGCAAACCAUUCCUGAAUGUGAGUCUCCUCAAGACAUUGCCUGCAACAGCUGAUUAAUCAUUGUUGAGGACUGCAGUUUUUCCCAUCCUUCCCGAUUUACAUCUGUUCAGGCCAAUUCAAAUAUGGUGAGUAAAUGAAUUAGACAUGCAAAUUCACGCCCCGGGCUAGAAAAAAAAGGAGGGGAGGGAGACAGAAAGAGAGAGAAGGAGAGGGAGAAAAUACAGAGUGCAUGGCUGAAAUCCUAGGAUAGAAGAGCUGUUCUUCUGCCUAACAUUGUAGAGAUUUUAAUGCUGUAAAAACCCUGAAAAUAAAUCUUCCUGUCAUUUGCAGGGUAACUGUAAGGCUUCGUCGUCGUCGUCUUUUUUGUACAUGUAAGGAGGCUGCUUCUGGAGGAAGUGAAGAGUUAUGGAAACAACACACAUAGUGUGGAAAAAAAUUCACAUUUUUUUUCUUAAAAAAUCUAUAAGAAACAAGGUAUAUGGAUAACAGAAUAAUAGCAUUUUACAAUAUUCCACUCUGUUGCCUUAUAUAGUUAUUUUGCAUGUCCCCAGAAGGUGUGUGUGUUUUUUUUUUUCAGUUGGUGUUUUUCCUUUCCCUGCUUUUCAGGGUCCAUAUAUAGACAAUUAGGGUUGUUCCUUGGUCCAAAACUAGAUGCCAAGAACGGAACUCCCAUUAAGUCUUUGCAGAACGGCAUCGUUUCACACUCGCCGUCCCUGAGGAUAAAGUAUAUGUUUUCCCGUAAGCUACUGAGCAUGAAUGUCCAUCACUUGUCCACUCAUUGCUGGGUCUCCUGUGUUGAGCAUUGUGGGGCUAGUUGCUGGCAUCGGCAUUCCAGGGUGGGGUGGUCCUCCAUGCAUCAUCAUUGCUGGGUGGUGUGGGUGUCCAGGAAUGUAGGUAUGCAUGGGGGGCCCGUGGCGCAACUGAGCAGGGUGUGGGGGCAUCUGAGGUGGCGUAUAGCUCGGUUGUCCCAUGUUCAUGCCCAGCGGGCCACCCCGAGACACAUAAUCCCCUGGCAUAUUCUGCAGUCCUGGGGAAGAAGAGAGACACAUGUUAAAGGCGAAACCUGGUUUCUGGGAAAGCAGACUCACAUUAAAACUUCCUUCAGGAAUCAUCUUUUAGCACAGGAGAUCCCAGGGGAUUAUUCAAGUGAUUGCUAAAAGGCUCAUUUGUCCACAAUUUGCAACAAAGAAAAAAUGUGCAAGUUACCAAUUUUUCCUCUACCACAGAGCUUUCCAAACUGUAUGUCACGACACAUUAGAGUGUUGCCUGCAGUUUGUAGGUGUGUCAUGUGAACAUUAUAACGAGACAUCUCUAAGUCUGUGAAAUGAGCAAUAAAUCAUACGUAUGUUUAAAAUAUAAAUGGAAGUUUUUCAUGAGAUAUGUUGUACCCAUACACAUUUUGUUAUUACAAAUUAUCUGUGUGUCCGUAUCUCUUAUAGGGGGUUGAUUUAACCUCUGGUUUACUAGUAAAACUGGAUCGCUGUGUUGCAAAAGGAUGCAUGUCUUUAAAGUGCUUCACCAAGACAUAAUGUUUGAAAAGCUCUCCUCUAGCGUUUUGAAAAGAAAAAAAAAUCUUCAGCUUAAGACACACGUGUAGUAUAUAAUACAGGUAUAAAAUAUGAUCCUGUGCUUCCCCAAAGAGCCUAACUCCCAGUCAUUUCCAUUGUACUUAAAAUGCCUAGUCUGCGAAGGACAUGUGGACCACAGAGAACACUUGACAUCAAUUGCCUCCUGUAUCCUUGGCUGAGUCCCUUAGAGCACUCUUCUCUCCUCUUGCUUUUUAGAAACAUGAUCUCUUGUGUAUGAGGUGCAGUAAGACUAUGUUCCUCACAAGAAAGAACAACAAUGUAUUUGUUAUUAAAUCUGUUCUGAAAAUGAAGUAUGAUAAAGCCAGCUUCCAACAA